UCCGAUAUCAGUACAGCCGACGAGUUGAUUGGGAUAGCAGUGAAAUCUACUGGAUUCACACUGGUUAAAAGGCCUUAAAGAGGAUUGGGUUUGACUGUUUGGGUUUGACUCCUCAAUCUGACCCUCAGUUAUCUGCUACUGAUCCAGCUGUCUCGUGUCAGUCAAUAACCUACAGCCUGAUUUUCCAUUAGAUGAGACCUCUGACAUUCAGAAGCAAGCAGGAGGACACGAACAAAGACAACAAAAGGAAAAAUGCAGUCCGUGGAUGAUAUGGCGCUCGGAUUGAAGCCAGACGCAGAGUCGAGAGAGACCCGCAAGGCUGGCAGCUGUUGAUGAGUGCGGCUUAUGGUCAUUUCCAAUUCAUCUCUAUACCGAAAGGUUCAGAUGUUCUCUUCAC